rnacentral:rRNA from 1 species
AGGUUAAGUCCUUCAACGAGCGCAACCCUUGUGAAUAGUUGUAUUUUUCUAUUCAGACUGCCCCGGUAACGGGGAGGAAGGAGGGGAUGAUGUCAGGUCAGUAUUUCCCUUACAUCCUGGGCUAGAAACGUAAUACAAUGGCUAGUACAAUGCGCAGCGAAGCCGUGAGGUGAAGCAAAUCGCACCAAAGCUUGUCCCAGUUCGGAUUGGAGGCUGAAACUCGCCUCCAUGAAGUCGGAAUCGCUAGUAAUCGCAGGUCAGCAAACUGCGGUGAAUACGUUCCCGGGUCUUGUACACACCGCCCGUCAAGCCAUGAAAGUGACCAACACCCGAAGUCCGAUUCGUCGGCCUAAGGUGGGGGGCAUGAUUGGGGUUAAGUCGUAACAAGGUAUCCGUACCGGAAGGUGCGGAUGGAUUACCUCCUUUCUAGGGAGUAA